GUAUUUUGAAUUAAGUAUUCAUAAUAGUUUUUCAGACAAAGUGGUUCAAGGUUAUAGGUUGGUGUAGGUGUUUCUCCGAAAAGAAACACAACAUUGCACACAAGGUGGAUAUGGAUUUUUAAAGAGUGCCAUAAAACACUCAUUGUGAAUGAUCCUUCCGCAGGUUCACCUACGGAAA
rnacentral:misc_RNA from 1 species